ACAGUGCUCAUCCAGACUACAGAUGGAGAAGAGUGAGGAGAGGAUUACUUCUCACCUUCUGUCUAAAGAUCAAGACAUACUCAUCUCACUCAGUCAUCUCCAGUGGCAUGUUGAAGUGUACCUGCUCUAAAGCUUGCUAUAAAAACUGGAAUGAGUGGACUGCCUCAUCAGCUGCAGAUCCCAGUCAGGAGGAAGAAGACAAAAGUAAUCAUAAAGCAGAGGAAGACAUUUGGAAAAAAUGCGUUCCUUCUAUGAGCAGGCUUUGUUGUCACAAGUACUGUGCUGACAAUGAGAUCUUUAGAAGAGCUCUAUUUCUAUCACACCAUGUAGUAUUCCUCAGGAAUUAGUAAAUUCACUCAGGAAAUAAACCAAAAGAUUCCCUACUAUCAUUUUUUGUAGUACUUCUCUGGAUAAUUUUUAAUCUUUUAUUCUAUGGAAAACUUAAAAUGAAGACAAAGAAAGAAAGAAAAAGAUUUUUCUUCUUUCCUUCUUUUUUUACAGAGCAAUAAGGAAGAUGAUGGAUUAAAGCAGAUGCAGACUGUUUGCAGUUAUAUAAGACUAUUAGGGACUCUGCUUGUUCUGGCUUUUGUAAUUUGUCCAUGUCCUACUUUAUAUAACUCAAUCCAUUGUGAGUAAAAACAUGAAAUACCAGAA